GGCUUACCAUGCAGUCGAGGGGCAGCAUUUCAGCUUUGCUUGCAAACUGGAGAUGGCGACCGGCGCACGGGUGAGUAACACGNUAUCCAACCUGCCGAUAACUCGGGGAUAGCCUUUCGAAAGAAAGAUUAAUACCCGAUGGNAUAAUCAGACCGCAUGGUCUUAUUAUUAAAGAAUUUCGGUUAUCGAUGGGGAUGCGUUCCAUUAGGCAGUUGGUGAGGUAACGGCUCACCAAACCUUCGAUGGAUAGGGGUUCUGAGAGGAAGGUCCCCCACAUUGGAACUGAGACACGGUCCAAACUCCUACGGGAGGCAGCAGUGAGGAAUAUUGGUCAAUGGGCGCAGGCCUGAACCAGCCAAGUAGCGUGAAGGAUGACUGCCCUAUGGGUUGUAAACUUCUUUUAUAUGGGAAUAAAGUUUUCCACGUGUGGAAUUUUGUAUGUACCAUAUGAAUAAGGAUCGGCUAACUCCGUGCCAGCAGCCGCGGUAAUACGGAGGAUCCGAGCGUUAUCCGGAUUUAUUGGGUUUAAAGGGAGCGUAGGUGGACAGUUAAGUCAGUUGUGAAAGUUUGCGGCUCAACCGUAAAAUUGCAGUUGAUACUGGCUGUCUUGAGUACAGUAGAGGUGGGCGGAAUUCGUGGUGUAGCGGUGAAAUGCUUAGAUAUCACGAAGAACUCCGAUUGCGAAGGCAGCUCACUGGACUGCAACUGACACUGAUGCUCGAAAGUGUGGGUAUCAAACAGGAUUAGAUACCCUGGUAGUCCACACAGUAAACGAUGAAUACUCGCUGUUUGCGAUAUACAGUAAGCGGCCAAGCGAAAGCAUUAAGUAUUCCACCUGGGGAGUACGCCGGCAACGGUGAAACUCAAAGGAAUUGACGGGGGCCCGCACAAGCGGAGGAACAUGUGGUUUAAUUCGAUGAUACGCGAGGAACCUUACCCGGGGCUUAAAUUGCAUUUGAAUAAUUUGGAAACAGNNUAGCCGCAAGGCAAAUGUGAAGGUGCUGCAUGGUUGUCGUCAGCUCGUGCCGUGAGGUGUCGGCUUAAGUGCCAUAACGAGCGCAACCCUUAUCUUUAGUUACUAACAGGUCAUGCUGAGGACUCUAGAGAGACUGCCGUCGUAAGAUGUGAGGAAGGUGGGGAUGACGUCAAAUCAGCACGGCCCUUACGUCCGGGGCUACACACGUGUUACAAUGGGGGGUACAGAAGGCAGCUACCUGGUGACAGGAUGCUAAUCCCAAAAGCCUCUCUCAGUUCGGAUCGAAGUCUGCAACCCGACUUCGUGAAGCUGGAUUCGCUAGUAAUCGCGCAUCAGCCAUGGCGCGGUGAAUACGUUCCCGGGCCUUGUACACACCGCCCGUCAAGCCAUGAAAGCCGGGGGUACCUGAAGUACGUAACCGCAAGGAGCUCCUAGGAAACC
rnacentral:rRNA from 1 species